rnacentral:lncRNA from 1 species
GGGAAUUUCUUCUACUAGCGCGAUGCAAAUUAUUCACCUCUUAUCUUGGGAAGCCUCAUGAUCAUAGGUUGAUCUAGUCCUUCCACCUUGCCAAAGAGUUGAUCUGAAGAUUUUCACAAAUCAUUUCAACACAGCUAGGACUUUUUGAACUUCUACUACUUGCCAGUUACAGUGUGAGACUCAGCCUGUAGCCCCAGAGAGCCUCUGGUAUCCGGUUGGACACACCCAAAUAGUAAUCACAACAAGACAAUAAAUGAACACGCCAAAGUUAAUGCUAUAGACCAGGUAAACUCAUUGUUCCAUCUUCAAACUGGCCCCCUGGACUGGCUGCAACCCCAGCUAUUCGCUGGCUUCUGCUUCUCUCUGAUUCUAAGGAGGCCGUGUGCAUGUGCAAAAGGAGUGGAGUGGGAAGAAAUGGCCAGCAGCAAUAUCAGUGUGGAAGCCCCCAUGCAGUGGUGAGGGCCAGAAGAGGAGAGUGUCGGAGAGGAAAAAAGUCCAUCUUCCCCCGGGGAUAAGCAUUCCAAAAACAGGCAUCCUGUUCCUUUUUAUCAAAAUCACUAACUUAUUAUGUAUUCUUGGGCAUCUGGCACUAUAAAGUUCCAGAUGUUCUGCUCUUGACUUUCACAACCUUCAACAGGAACGGAUAUUCAGAUCAUUCGAGGUGAGUGGAAACAUGGCAGAUUAUUUCUGACAGAUAUCAGAAAGGGCAUUCCUCCAAUAGGUUUCCUGGAGCCAUCCAAUCGCCAGACUUGCAAAUCAAGCCCAAGCGGUUCACAAUAGUAUAAUUGUCAUUUUCAUCACCACAGGCACAGCCAUUUUAGGAGGGAACCCUCAGCCCCCUGUCCAUGUUUCAGCAGUUUUCACACCCCUCUCCACAAUGGCAGAGUCUUGGAGCAACAUUUCCAGAGCCUCUCUCUAUCUCCUAUUGGCUCCUCCCCUACAGAGCACUGGCCGACCUGAUUGGUGGAGUGGAAUUAGGAGAUGGGGCAUUUGGCAGGCGAUUAGAUCAUGCAGGUAGAGCCUUCGUGAAUGGGAGUAGUGCCCUUAUAAAAGAGACCCCAGAGAGUUCCCUCGCUCCUUCUGCCAUGUAAGGACACAGAGAAAAGACAGCCAUCUAUGAACCAGGAAGCGCGCCCUCACCAGACGCAGAAUCUGGUGUGCCUUGAUCGUAGACUUCCCAGCCUACAGAACUGUGAGAAAUAAAUUUCUGUUGUUUAUGUCACCCAGUCUAUGGUAUUUUUGUUGUAGCAGCCCAAACGGACUAAAACAUCAUGAAAGUCCUAAAAACAAGAGGCAAAAAUAGAAGAUGGAUAGCCCUCUUGGAUAUUAAAGCAUCUAGGGAAACUUGACAAUUAACACAAUUAAUACCAGCACAAGAAUAGACAGAAAUAUGGAAUAGAAUAGAAAGUAUAAAAAGAAACAUAUACAGAGAACAUUUGUCCUAUGAUUAAAGUUGUACUUCACAUGACUGGGGGAGAUACAGAAUUUUUAAUAAAGGAUGUUGGGACAACUGGAUAGCCAUUUGAAAAGAAAAAAUAAAAUGCAUCCAUAAUUCCAUGUCAUUUUUAACUUUAUAGAUCUCAGUGUAAAAUAAAACAAAUAUAACCACAGAAGUAAUACAAAUCUGUGGGUGAAUUUCUUGAGAGUG